AACGAACGCUGGCGGCAUGCCUAACACAUGCAAGUCGAACGAGACCUUCGGGUCUAGUGGCGCACGGGUGCGUAACGCGUGGGAACCUGCCCUUAGGUUCGGAAUAACUCCCCGAAAGGGGUGCUAAUACCGGAUAAUGUCUUCGGACCAAAGAUUUAUCGCCUUUGGAUGGGCCCGCGUUGGAUUAGCUAGUUGGUAGGGUAAAAGCCUACCAAGGCGACGAUCCAUAGCUGGUCUGAGAGGAUGAUCAGCCACACUGGGACUGAGACACGGCCCAGACUCCUACGGGAGGAAGCAGGGGGGAAAUUUGGAAAAGGGGCAAAAGCCUGAUCCAGCAAUGCCGGGGGGGUGAUGAGGGCUUUAGGGUUUUAAAGCUCUUUUACCCGGGGUGAUAAUGACAGUACCGGGAGAAGAAGCCCCGGCUAACUCGGU
rnacentral:rRNA from 1 species